CCAGGAGGCCGGGCAGCCGCGUCCCAUCGCGAGGUGGGUCGAGGAAAGUCCGGGCUCCGCGAAACGAGGGUGGCGGGUAACGCCCGCCCGGUGGACCCUGCGAAAGCGGGGAAGCCCGAGGGAAAGUGCCACAGAGAGUGUACCGCCGAUGGCCUCUAAAGGGCACAGGCAAGGGUGAAAGGGUGCGGUAAAGGCGCACCGGGGCGCUGGUAACAGCGUCCGCAUGGCAAACCCCACCCGGAGCAAGACCGAAUAGGGGUCUCGAGCCUUAGCCCUUUGGGGCGAAGGCAGGGGUGUUUCGCCCCGAGAGGCCCGGGUUGGUCGCUGGAGCGGCCGGGCAACCGGUCGCCGAGAUGAAUGGCUGCCCCCGCGCGCCGGUCCGCCCAAGGAAACGAGGGCAGAUACCGCGAGCGGGACAGAACCCGGCUUACAGGCCUCCUGGCAAC
rnacentral:RNase_P_RNA from 2 species